GCCUGUGAGUUAUGGAGGAUUUAUGGGGUCAGCUAUGGGAUUUGGGGUCACUGAUGAUGUUUGUGAUCAGGGCUGGAGCAUAGGGCACAGUGCCUGUGAGUUAUGGAGGAUUUAGGGGGUCAGCUAUGGGAUUUGGGGUCACUGAUGAUGUUUGUGAUCAGGGCUGGGGCACAGGGCACAGUGCCUGUGAGUUAUGGGGUCUCCUAUGGGAUUUGGAGUUAGUUCUGGAAUUUGGGAUCAGUUAUGAGGUCAUUUAUGGGGUUUGAGAUCAAUUCUGGGAUUUGGGAUCGGGGCCAGGGCACAGUGUCUGUGAGUGACAGGGGAUUUAUGGGGACAGGUAUGGGAUUUGAGGUCAGGUAUGGGAUUUAGAAUGGGAGCUGAGGCACAGGGCACAGUGCCAGUGAGUUGUGGGGCCAUUUAUGGGGUCACUUAUGGGGUCAGCUAUGGGAUUUGUUGUCAAUUAUGGGAUUUGGGGUCAGCUAUGGGAUUUGAGGUCAGUUAUGGGGUAAUUUAUGGGAUUUGGGAUUGGGGAAUUUGGGGUUCUGUCUGUGCCUUUGGGAUACUUUGAGGUGUUUUUUGGGGUAAUUUGGGGUGUUUUAGGAUAAUUUGGGGUUCUCUGUUCCUUUGGAAUAAUUUGGGGUGAACAUUUCUGAAUUUUUGAGGGAACAUUCCCAAAUUUUGGAGGAAACAUUCCCAGGUUUUGGGGAACAUUCCCGGGUUUUUUGGGAACCAUUCCCAGAUUCUGGGGGGAACAUUCUCUGGUGUUUGGGCUACCAUUCCUAGGUUUUCUGGGGGCCAUUCCCAGGUUUUCUGGAGGAACGUUCCUGAAUUUUUGGGGGCAAUAUUCCUGGGUUUUUUGGGGGACUAUUUCUGAAUUUUUGGGGAAUUUUUCUGAAUUUUUGAGGGAACAUUUGCAGAAUUUUUGGGGGAACAUUCCUGGUUUUUUGAGGGAACAUUUCUGGGUUUUUGGAGACCAUUGCUAGGUUUUUUGGGGACCGUUCCUGGGCUUUUGAGGGAACAUUCCUGGAGUUUUUUAGGGAACAUUUCUGAAUUUUGGGGGACAUAUCUGAAUUUUUGAGGGAAGACUCCUGAACUUUUUGGGGUACCAUUCCUGAAUUUUUGUGGUACCAUUCUCGGAAUUUUUGGGGACCAUUCUCGUGUUUUUUGGGGUACCACUCCCAGGUUUUUGGGGUAUCAUUCCUAGAUUUUUUUCAGGACCAUUCCCUGAUUUUUUGGUACUAUUCCCAAACUUUUUGGGGUACCAUUCCUGAAUUUUUGGAGUACUAUUCCUGGUUUUUGGGCUAUCCGUGGCCCUAUUCCCCUGUGCCAGGUUCCUGGGGUUCAAGGAGCUGCACCUGGUGCCCGGCGCCACGACAUCGCCUUGGUGGAGUUGGACACCGAGGUGCAGGCGGGCACCGCCCACGAGGCCCUGCAGGGCUCCAAGAUCACCCAGAGCAAUGCCACAAAGAUCUCCUUCACCAAAGAGUGACCCCAAAACCUUCCCAAACACCCCCAAACCCAAAAAAAACCCGCCUGGAAUAUCCCAAAAUCCCAGAGAAACACCCCAAAAUCCCAGAGAAAUGCCUCAAAAACCUCUCCUGAAUAUCCCAGAACUGCCCCAAAACAUCCCAGAAUCC